GGAACUGGAAGUAAUUGAUUUAUCCCAUGGAUAGCGCCAUCUACCUUUUGAACAAUCAAGGCCAUUGUACCUCAUUUUAUCAACAUGAGUAAUACAUACGGUUACAUACAGGGAAGAGGGAUAUUACUGGAGAAGCACCUGAGAACCAAAGCCAUCAUAGAGAGAUGAUUGUUCCCUUGUACUGGGCAAAGAGGUGACUUUGUCACGAGUGCCAAACUAAUUAUUGAAAAUAAGAGCCGUAGCAAAAUUUGCGGUAUGGCCAAGGUAAGCAAAGCUGUCUAGAAGGAGUUUCAGGGAGUUAAUAGCUUUCCAAGCUAUUCAAACAGUUAGAGAUGGGGAGACUGAAGGACCAGAAAGUCUACAGUGGAGAAAUAAUUAUUAUGCAUGUUACUGUGAUGCUGAAACAGUGGCACAUGAAGCCACUAUGUAGCCUGACUUAUAAACAGAGGCCCCUGUUCUUGAUGAAGGAGAAGAA